GAGAAGCUCUGCUUGUUGCCGGGCUCAUGACCAGCUGGGUCUGAUGGUUCGUGUUCUAACCCCUAAGUCGUGUCCACCACCUUGUGUGAAGGCCAUCUUCAUGCGAUGCUUUUCUGCCUUCAUGUGAGGCAAUAAAGAAACGGAAGAAAGAUGGACUAAGAGCAGUGGAUCUGGACUCACCCCGCAGGAGACUGUGUGAGCCAGUAGAAUGAUACCCGGCAACCCAUCUUCAGCAUUUGGUCUCUGAGGGAAACUGAGUGUUUAUCAAACUACACAAUGGACCGCUGCAAGCCCUCUACUCUACUGCAGGUUACACUGUCUGUGCAGGAGCCAGGUCAGUCUCUCAGUGACACCCAGUUACCAGCCACCGGUUUAGGUGGGCCCGCUUUUGGAAGAGUUAGCAUCUCACACAAUUUAUCUCACCACCCACAUUUCUUCUACAUCAAUUCUGGACCAGACUUUGCUCACCCAAAGAAAACCCAACCUCAGUUCUCAUAAUGAACACUUACUGUUUCUCUGUCCCGUUUUCCCUCCAGCCUGGGGCAUCAUUUCUGUCUCUGUCCACAUUGCUGUAUUAGGACUAGCCAUGUUCCUGUAGUGGGACUCAUCCACCCCACACACACUGUAGUUCCUGAGGCCACGGUGGUCGUAUCGCUGAGCUGAGCCAAUCAGUCUCAAAACAGGAUGACUGAAUUUUCUCCUCAAUGGUGGGAUCAGUCAACUUGACUUUAGAAGGUUCUCUACAGCCACGGUUUUCUGUCAUGUGAGCCAGAAAAGCAGAGGCGGCGAGAUUAUAGAGAGGAAGAGAAGAAUGGAGCAGAAACAAAGAGCUGGAAACAGAGAUGGGGAAGAACCUGGGGCUGUUCUGUCCCUGGUUCAGUUCCUUUGGCCCAGCCACAUUCCUCAAUUCAACUGAGCUGGACCCAAUGGUCUCUGUAAUUUGCAUUCAAAAGAGUUCUCUGUAUAUAACUCACCUUCUUUUCCUCCAAGUAUUAAAGCAUGAGAUGCUCAUGGUAGAUUUGAUUGCCCACGUGGUUUUCCCAGCGUUGUCUCAGGGAUUGCCAGUGGAAAGGCAUGGCCUUAGAACCAUCAUAAUAAAACUAACUAGUUGUGAAGCAUCUAUUUACAGUGUUGACUCAAUUUUCUGACAGUAACCGGAGGCUUAAUGAGGUUAAGCAAGCUGCCUCACGUUGCACAGCGAGCAGGUAAAUGACUGAGCCAGGACUCCACAACUCCUAACUGUUCUGCCCUGUGCAGAUUCAGCCCAAUGGAACGGUCAUCUAACCAGUGGUUUGUGAA